UGGAGGACGGCGGGGCGGGGCGGGGCGGGGCUCUCGGGCUGCGGUCUGCGGAGGGAGAGGUGGCGGUCAUGCCUCAGGACACUGGUCUCGUGACCGCCGAGCUGCCACCUUCCCCGUCCUCUCCCGUCUCGUCCCCUCCAGUCCCCACCUGGCCUCCCACAGCAGGACGCAACCCCGCCUCCCCUAGAAGCCUGAGGAUCCAGCGAGUGUGGGGAUCUCCAGCUCCCUUGGGCAUGCCCUCUUGUCCACCCUAAACAAGCCUGACGCGUAGAAACCUGAGGACAUAACACACAACUCGGGCGGCUUAUUGCAUUAAUUAUCUCUGGGAGCUACACUUGACAACAUGAAUGGAACAGAAAGCGAACUUGGGGGCCAGUGAGGCCUUGUAAAGAACAUCACUAAUAUCCUGUUCCAGUCCACUCAGAAGCUUCUGAGGGCAAGCACUACUGUCUGCUUCACUGGCCCUAGGAAGACAGAGCACAAGGUACAGCGGAAGGUAGAGGGAGAGGCCUCACUCAACAGGUCCUUUCCAAGGAUGGAAGAGCCUGCAUCUGACUGGACAGAGGCGGAGAUGUUCAGUGGGCCACAUUUUAUCACAGGGCAGUGGGCCGAGAUGGUCAUUGUGCUCGUGGUUCCAGCUCUUCGGCCUGCUCUUUGGUCCUGCCCAUCACAGAUCUGGAGGGCAGGGGUGCAGAAGGAACCACAGGUAGGGCCCUGGUCUGAUCUGCAGGUUCCAUCACGACUGAUCAGAGAGGGCAGGGAACAGGCACCUAGCUCCUGAGAACACAGUGGCUCAUUUCCUAAACGGCUUUUGUUACUCAGGUGUGUGCUUCCUUGAGUGCAAAGCCAAGCACCUUAACCAAACCUCCCACCUCAUCAGUAUUGUUAUUAAUGAUGAU